GACGAACGCUGGCGGCGUGCCUAAUACAUGCAAGUCGAACGCAGUGGGGACGGGUGAGUAACACGUGGGUAACCUGCCAUCAGAGGGGAUAACACUUGGAAACCGGUGCUAAACCGAUACUGAUGGAUGGACCCGCGGUGCAUUAGCUAGUUGGUGAGGUAACGGCUCACCAAGGCCACGACGCAUAGCCGACCGGAGAGGGGGAUCGGCCAGACUGGGACUGGGACCCGGCCCAGACUCUUACGGGAGGCAGCAGUAGGGAAUCUUCUGCAAUGGACGAAAGUCUGACCGAGCAACUCUGCGGGAGUGAAGAAGGUUGUCGUAUCGUAAAACUCUGUUGUUAGAGAAGCGGUAUCUAACCAGAAAGCCACGGCUAACUACGUGCCAGCAGCCGCGGUAAUUC
rnacentral:rRNA from 1 species